CAGAGGGUGCGAGCGUUAAUCGGAAUUACUGGGCGUAAAGCGCGCGUAGGCGGCUUUGCAAGUCGAGUGUGAAAUCCCCGGGCUUAACCCGGGAACUGCAUUCGAGACUGCAUAGCUAGAGUAUGGGAGAGGGAAGUGGAAUUUCAGGUGUAGCGGUGAAAUGCGUAGAUAUCUGAAGGAACAUCAGUGGCGAAAGCGACUUCCUGGACCAAUACUGACGCUUAUGUGCGAAAGCGUGGGGAGCAAACAGGAUUAGAUACCCUGGUAGUCCACGCCAUAAACGAUGACAACUGGAUGUCGGGAGGGUCUGCCUCUCGGUGUCGUAGCUAACGCGUUAAGUUGUCCGCCUGGGGAGUACGGCCGCAAGGUUG
rnacentral:rRNA from 1 species